rnacentral:lncRNA from 1 species
UGGGGUCGUACGGGGAGCUGGGCCCCCAUCCAGCCCAUAGGGCUCCAUAGGGCUCCAUAGGGCUCCAUAGGGCUCCAUAGGGCUCCAUAGGGCUCCAUAGGGCUCCAUAGGGCUCCAUAGGGCUUCAUACUGGUCCAUAUUGGGCUGUACUGGUUCAUACUGGUCCAUACUGGUCCGUACUGGUUGUUACUGGUCUGUACUGGUCGUUACUGGUCGUUACUGGUCCAUACUGGUUCAUACUGGUUGUUACUGGUUGUUACUGGUCCAUACUGGUCCAUACUGGUCCGUACUGGUCGUUACUGGUUGUUACUGGUUGUUACUGGUCGUUACUGGUUGUUACUGGUCGUUACUGGUCUGUACUGGUUGUUACUGGUCGUUACUGGUUGUUACUGGUUCAUACAGGUUCAUACUGGUCCAUACUGGUCCAUACUGGUUGUUACUGGUUGUUACUGGUCCAUACUGGUCCAUACUGGUUCAUACUGGUCCAUACUUGUCGUUACUGGUCCAUACAGGUCCAUACUGGUCCAUACUGGUCCAUACUGGUUUAUACCGGUCGUUACUGGUCCGUCCCGGCCUGUUCCCCCCCCCUGACGAGCAGGACGGGUCCCAGCCCCUCAGUCAGAACC